rnacentral:rRNA from 1 species
GGAAUAUUGCACAAUGGGCGCAAGCCUGAUGCAGCCAUGCCGCGUGUGUGAAGAAGGCCUUCGGGUUGUAAAGCACUUUCAGUCGUGAGGAAGGUNGUGUAGUUAAUAGCUGCAUUAUUUGACGUUAGCGACAGAAGAAGCACCGGCUAACUCCGUGCCAGCAGCCGCGGUAAUACGGAGGGUGCGAGCGUUAAUCGGAAUUACUGGGCGUAAAGCGCAUGCAGGUGGUUUGUUAAGUCAGAUGUGAAAGCCCGGGGCUCAACCUCGGAAUUGCAUUUGAAACUGGCAGACUAGAGUACUGUAGAGGGGGGUAGAAUUUCAGGUGUAGCGGUGAAAUGCGUAGAGAUCUGAAGGAAUACCGGUGGCGAAGGCGGCCCCCUGGACAGAUACUGACACUCAGAUGCGAAAGCGUGGGGAGCAAACAGGAUUAGAUACCCUGGUAGUCCACGCCGUAAACGAUGUCUACUUGGAGGUUGUGGCCUUGAGCCGUGGCUUUCGGAGCUAACGCGUUAAGUAGACCGCCUGG